rnacentral:rRNA from 1 species
GAUGAACGCUAGCGAUAGGCCUAACACAUGCAAGUCGAGGGGCAUCACAUGAAGUAGCAAUACGGAUGGUGGCGACCGGCGCACGGGUGAGUAACACGUAUGCAACCUGCCUUCAACAAGGGGAUAACCCGUUGAAAGACGGACUAAUACCCUAUAACACAGGGGUCCCGCAUGGGAAUAUUUGUUAAAGGACAACCGGUUGAAGAUGGGCAUGCGUUCCAUUAGCUAGUUGGCGGGGUAACGGCCCACCAAGGCAACGAUGGAUAGGGGAACUGAGAGGUUUAUCCCCCACACUGGUACUGAGACACGGACCAGACUCCUACGGGAGGCAGCAGUGAGGAAUAUUGGUCAAUGGACGCAAGUCUGAACCAGCCACGUCGCGUGAAGGAAGACGGCCCUACGGGUUGUAAACUUCUUUUAUACGGGAAUAAAGUGCCCCACGCGUGGGGUUUGCAUGUACCGUAUGAAUAAGGAUCGGCUAACUCCGUGCCAGCAGCCGC